rnacentral:rRNA from 1 species
ACACGACUACAUUAGAUACCCGGGUAGUCCUAGCCGUAAACGAUACUCGCUAGGUGUCGGCCACGGUGCGACCGUUGUCGGUGCCGUAGGGAAGCCGUGAAGCGAGCCACCUGGGAGUACGUCCGCAAGGAUGAAACUUAAAGGAAUUGGCGGGGGAGCACCGCAACGGGAGGAGCGUGCGGUUCAAUUGGAUUCAACGCCGGACAACUCACCAGGAGCGACGGUUACAUGAAGGCCAGGCUGAUGACCUUGCCUGAUUUUCCG